rnacentral:ncRNA from 1 species
GGACUGGCAGUGAAGAGGAAUAGUAAUGGUAAGGCCGGUGUACACAGAGAGGGGAUCCUGCGGCUGAAAGUUCCCUGCAUUCGGGUAUCAUGAACCUACCUUGGAGCCUCUGUAUGAAAAUACAGCGUCAUGUCAGCGUUAAUGGCAGACAGAGAGAACUGCAGAAGGGCUGCAGUUAAUUAGGGUGGUACCGCCGAACUUUUCGGUCCCUUUU